rnacentral:rRNA from 1 species
UACGUAGGGAGCGAGCGUUGUCCGGAUUCAUUGGGCGUAAAGAGCUCGUAGGCGGUUCAGUAAGUCGGGUGUGAAAUCUCCGUGCUCAACACGGAGCGGCCACCUGAUACUGCUGUGACUCGAGUCCGGUAGGGGAGUGUGGAAUUCCCGGUGUAGCGGUGAAAUGCGCAGAUAUCGGGAGGAACACCGGUGGCGAAGGCGGGUCUCUGGGCCUGUUCUGACGCUGAGGAGCGAAAGCGUGGGGAGCAAACAGG